rnacentral:rRNA from 1 species
AUGUGUAUUCUUCGCUGCAUCAUUUGUGAUCGUACUUCAUGUAAGAUUGCACAUCCAUCUUGUGGUGAGAAUGUGUAUUUCACGGGUGAUAACGCUCAGUAUGGCUUUCCGGUACACUAUAAGUGGGGAGCUGAUCUAGGUGGAAUGCUCGAAUCUGACUUCAUAUACUUCGAUCGUGAAAGUGAUGACGAGUUUGCAAAGAUUCUAUCAGAGGCGUCUUGUUCUUCAUCAUCCCCUAAGAAGACCAGAGAUGAGUUUCCUUGGUCACAGAGGAAUACCAGAGCUAGAACCGAUGCUGGUUUUGGCGUUGCCCCGGUCCCUUUCUGGAGGGUGCAAGUGGUUAUAUUGAGCAACCAUCCUUGUGUUGGCUUAUGUGAGCUCGUGUAG